rnacentral:sRNA from 1 species
GAAACGAGAAUAAAACGUGAAGGAUAACGUUGCGUCAGCAACGGCCCGUAGGGCGAGGCAAAGCCGAGUCAUCCUGCACGACCCACCA